rnacentral:rRNA from 1 species
CCUACGGGGGGCUGCAGUCAAGAAACUUCCGCAAUGCACGAAAGUGUGACGGAGCGACGCCGCGUGAUGGAUGAAGCCCCUUGGGGUGUAAACAUCUUUUAUGAAUGAAGAAAUUUUUGACAUUAGUUCAUGAAUAAGAGGCUCCUAACUCUGUGCCAGCAGGAGCGGUAAUACAGAGGCCUCGAGCGUUAUCCGGAAUUAUUGGGCGUAAAGGGUGCGUAGGUGGUUAUAUUAGUCGAAUGUCAAAGACCCGGGCUCAACCUGGGGGAGGCAUU